rnacentral:lncRNA from 1 species
GUGGCUGACUUCACCUUGGUCUUGCACCUUCAGGCUCCAAGAAGCACAUUGAAAAUGUUAGGAGAGUGAGCCUGCGGGGGAUGAGGGGUUUGAGUUCCUGGUCCUCCAGACAGUGAAGAUCUUGAUCAUGCAGCCUCCAGGGAGCGAAAGCCCUGCCUUUCUCCAGGCUCUGUUUGGAAGGGAAUAGUGGGCAGAUGGGCCUUGCCUGGGAAAACUGACUUCUCUUGGUUCAGGUUUGAAUGGGGAGGCACUGGCCUCGGAGCUCCUUGCUGCUGACAUCAGUUGUGCCCUUGUAGGAGACGUCCUGGUCCUGUCUGCCUCAGAGGCUUCCAUCUGCGGAUUUCCUGAGGUCGUCCCCUUACUCCUCUGCUGCAGUCUCUCUCAACAUUUCAACUGUCUGCUCCAGAAAGUUACUCUGUCACUAAGUAAAAUAAAUACAAACAAAAUAAGCAAUAAUCUACCCCCUUCCUUUCUCCUCUGGUCCCCUCUCUGUCUGCCUGUCACCCCCUCCUCAAUGAGAACGUGGAUCCCUCGUGGCAUUUCUCUGGAGGGAUGGCCCAGGCUUUCCCAGCCCAUGCACUCUCAGCCAGAUCAUUUGCCUGCGGUCCCAUGGCCGUCUCCAAAAUGUGCUCUCCUCCAAAGACUAGUUUUGCUGAUUGUCUUUGUUGCAAACUGUUUUUCUCCACACUACGCAAUUGGCAUUGCCUUUUUCAAAGUAUAUAUUUGUUUUUAUUUGCCAAAUCCACUUGAAUAUACUCAGCUUUACUAUGGAGUUUGAAGCCUGUGACUGUAUCCAAUUUAUGAAAUGUUGUCUCUCUUCCCCGUCCUGUGUGAUGUUGCUUUCUCCGUAAUUUCCAGUGCUUUUUCCCGAUGCAUCCCCCCAGGUCUCUUUUGUUCCAUUCUGCAUUCUCCGUGAGUGUUCUCCUCCAAAACCUCAGGUGCAGUCACCACCAAUGCCCCACUAUCUCCUGAAUCAUAAUCUAUAGCCUCAAAGCUUUUUGUAAACUCCAGUAGCCUGCUGCUCAUCUCCAGAUGGAUGCUCUGCAGAAAACCUAAAUGCAAGUUAUCUGAGAUGGGAUUAUUGUUCCUCUCGGUUUCCAACUGUAAGCACAUUAUGCCCCGUCUCCAGCAUAUGCCCCCACCUUGGCCCUGUGUCUCACCUCCCAUC